GUCCCUGUAGCUUAAUGGAUAAAGCGUCUCCCUGCGGAGGAGAAGAGUGGCUGUUCGACUCAGCCCAGGGACA
rnacentral:tRNA from 1 species